GCUAGAAUAGCUUAGUUGGUUAGAGCGUGUGGUUGUUAACCACAAGGUCAAAGGUUCAAGCUCUUUUUCUAGUG
rfam:Jatropha curcas cultivar GZQX0401 scaffold269_18, whole genome shotgun sequence.